UACGUAGGGUGCGAGCGUUGUCCGGAAUUACUGGGCGUAAAGAGCUCGUAGGUGGUUUGUCGCGUUGUUCGUGAAAACUCACAGCUUAACUGUGGGCGUGCGGGCGAUACGGGCAGACUGGAGUACUGCAGGGGGAGACUGGAAUUCCUGGUGUAGCGGUGGAAUGCGCAGAUAUCAGGAGGAACACCGGUGGCGAAGGCGGGGUCUCUGGGCAGUAACUGACGCUGAGGAGCGAAAGCGUGGGGAGC
rnacentral:rRNA from 1 species